UACAGAGGGUGCGAGCGUUAAUCGGAAUUACUGGGCGUAAAGUGUGCGCAGGCGGCAAAGCAAGUCGAGUGUGAAAGCCCCGGGCUUAACUUGGGAAUUGCGCUCGAAACUACUUGCUGGAGUGUGGCAGAGGAAGGUGGAAUUCCACGUGUAGCGGUGAAAUGCGUAGAGGAUGUGGAGGAACACCAAUGGCGAAGGCAGCCUUCUGGGCCAACACUGACGCUCAUGACACGAAAGCGUGGGGAGCAAACAGG
rnacentral:rRNA from 1 species